GGUUAAACAGACUGGUCCGUCUACACCAUGGAAUACUACUAUCCAGCCAUAAAAAGAUAAAAACUACGGAUCCUUGCAAUAAUUAGGAUGACUCUGAAAUUAUGCUGUGUGAGAAGAGCCAGUCUCAAAAGCAUAUGCAUAUGCAUGAGUCCAUAUAUGUGACACGUGUGAAAUGACGUAAUGUUGGGCGUGAAGAACGGAGUAAGGUCUUCCAGGAGCUGGGGAGGGAGACGGUGGCUCUGAACGGCUGAGGGACUCUUGCAGCAGUGGUGCUGUGUGGUUCAGGACCUUGAUCGCACGCAGAUCAUAUUGCCAAGCGACGGAAGAGCUGGAACAAGAGCCUGGCUGCUGUGGUCUUUGCAAAAAGAAAGCUACUUUUAUACCUUUAUUUCCGGAAGAUACAGGCCUAUAGUGCUUUGGAGGUUCUCGAGCUGAAAUGCUACGACAGCUAGAUCUCAGACACACAUUUUGGAUCGAGAAGAGGAAGCCAAUACUGAAAAUGGUGGAACCGAAAGACAGAAAAAAAAGAGAUUGCCUGCAUAUCUAUGAACAAUUAAUUUAUGACAGAGAAACCAAGGACAUCUAAUGGGUAAAGGACAGUCUCUUCAAAAAAUAGUUCUAGAAAAACUGGAUAGCCACAUGCCAAAGAAUGAAACUAGGCCGUUACUUCAUACUGUAAACAAAGAUGAACUCAAAAUGGAUUGAUGACUUGAAUGUAAGACCUGAAACCAUAAAACUCCUGGAAGAAAACAUAGGUGGCAAGUUCCAUGACAUUAAUCUGAGUGAUGUAUUUGUAGAUCAACACUAAAGAGAAAGGAAACAAAAGGAAAAAUAAACAAGUGGGACAACAUCAAAUUAAAAAGCUUCUGCACAGUGAAAGAAACCGUCACAAAACAAAAAGGGAACACACUGAAUGGGAGAAGAAUUUACAAAUCAUAUAUUUGAUAAGGAGUUGGUAUCUGGUAUAUACAAAAGAACUCAUACAACUCAACAAUGAAAAAACAAAUGACCUGACUAAAAAAUGGUCAGAAGAUCUUAUUUUCCAAAGAAGACAUAUAAAUGGCCAUAAACACAUGAAAAGAUGUUCAAUCUCACUAAUCAUCAGGAAAAAGUAAAUCAAAACCACAAUAAGAUAUCAUUUUAUACCUGCUGGAACAACUAUUAUCAAAAAGGCAAUCAUAUGUGUUGAAGAAGAAGUGAAGAAAAAGGAACCCUCUUAUACCACUGGUGGGAAUGUAAAUUGGUGCAGUCAUAUUGAAAAUAGUAUAGAGAAUCCUCAAAAAAUUAAGACUAGAACUACCAUAUGAUCCAGCUAUUCUGGGUAAUUAACUGAAGAAUAUGAAAACACGAGUUCAAAAAGGUAUAUAUAUCCCUAUGUUCAUUGCAACAUUAUUUACAAUAGCCAAGAUAAGGAAAUAAUCUAAUUGUUCAUCAAUAGAUGAAUGGAUAAGUGGACACGGUAUACACACACACACACACACACACAGGAAUAUGUAUAUAUAUAAUUUAUAAUAUAGUAUAUAUAAUGGAAUACUAUUCAGCCAUAAAGAAGAAUGAAAUCUUGCCAUUUGCAGCAGAUGGGCCUUGAGGCUAUUAUGCUGAUUGAAAUACAUCAGAGGAAGACAAAUACUGUAUGAUUUCACUCAUAUCUGGAAUACAAACAAACAAAUACUACAAAAACAAACUCAUAAAUACAGAGAACAGAUUGAUGGUUACCAGAAGGGGUUAGAGGGUGGGUGGGCAAAAUGGGUAAAGGUCAACCAUAUGGUGAUAAACAGUAACUAGACUUUUGUUGGCGAUCACUUUGUAGGGUAUGCAGAUGUCAAAUAAUAGUGUUGUGCACCUGCAACUUAAAUACUGUUAUAGACCAGUUUUACCUGAGAGAGAGAGGGAAAAGGUUAGUUGGGGUAGGUGGUAGGGAAGAAGACCAUGUAGAAAUUUCCCUGAUCAGCCCUACUCUAGGUUAGGUGCUCUUACUCAUGGGAUCUCUGGAACUCUGUUUUUCCUUCACGGUACUUGCGAUGUUAUGUGGUGGUCAUGAACCCCUAUGUCUGCUUCCAGACACCGUGAGUGACUUGAGUCCAGGGUCUAUACCUUUCAAUCCCCAGACCCAGAACAGUGCAGGAACACGGACCACCAAUGCUUGUCACGGAAAAAAAGAUGGAGGCAGGCAGUGGAAGGCAUAGGUUUUCAAUCAGAAGAUGUUCAUGCCUUGUCUGAGGUGGAAGGGGAUAAUGAGAUGAUGAGCAAAAGGACAGAGUAUUUUUAGGUAUUGUUGGGGCUGGGGGUAGAAGAAAGGCUGCUUUCUGAGGUGAGGCAACACAGGUUUGAGCCAGGUGGGCCUAUGCUCAAAUUCAACCCCUGACAUUUACUGAGGUCCUUGUCUUACUUUACUACAAGAUGAGAUGUAAUAAUACCCACCCCACAAGAAUGUCUGAGGGCAUCUCGAGGUGCUUAAAACACAAUGGAUAUUUUGGAGUAGAGGGAAUGAAAUAGAAGACAGUCAUGCUUGAGGACCUGUAUCUGCUCAGCAAUGCAGAAGGUGAAGCUCUGCUAAGAGUGAAGGGAGGAGCGUGGGGUGAGGUAGGACGCGGAAGGUUGAGGAGCACACGUGUCGAACCCAGGUACAUUUGAAUCCAGCUGUGCUAUUUUGAGAAAAUUAUUGAAAUUCUCUGAUUCUCAGGUUCCUCACCUCUCAAAUGCGGAUAAUUAUUAAAAUUCAGUUAUGAGGCUGUGCAGUUAACACAACGCCUGGCACAUAUACAUGGUAGUCCUUGUUAUUAUUUUGAUGCAUGUAAAAAUUCUGAGGAAAUGCUACUGUAAGGAACAUCCUAGGGAGUCAACAAGAUAUCGACUAAGGGGAAGAAGCGGUUGAGGAAGACGUGACCCACUUUUACCACAUCUCCCAGUGACUGUGAUUUCCCGACUUCAUACACCAGACCAGAGAAGGGAGCGGUGAAAAAGACAACACUAGAGGAGAAGUAAAGCAAGAAAGGGCCGGCACCUCAGGGUGUGGGUUUGGGUUCACUUAGUGAAGAAGAACCUAACUGCAUGAGCUUGAGACCUUAGGAAAGUUAGCAACCUCUCUGCGCUCAGCUUUAUCAGUUUUAAAAUGAAGUUAAUAGUGGCACUUACCUCAUAGACAUAUUAUAAGAGUUAAAGGCGUUAAUAUUUAUAAAUUUCUUAGAAUGAUGCCUGGCGUUUACUAGGCACUUGUACGUGUGUGCUAUAUAAAACAAGACCCAUGGUUAGAGAGAUGAAAAUAAUACCCCAGUCAACUCUGGGGGAAAAAGGAGAGUCAGAGCCCUGGAGUCCAGAGCAGGGAGCUGGAACAGAGCAGAGAUGAGGAAGAAUGUGUUGCUAAUUACAGCCACCUGACCACUCCCCUCCCCCAGCUUCCUUAGGAUUCUUCAAGUAAGCAUUUCUUGGGCUUUGGGGACACUAGCUCACCAUUCCUCCUUUCCUUCCACCCACUGCUUCCGAGAUCAGUAAGUGGGGGGAGAACCUCCCCAGAUACGGCAGGCACGGAAGGGUGGAUGGAGAUGAUUGCAUCCUGCACUCCUCAGGGUAGAAUGGGUUACAGCACGUUAUACUGAGUGAAAGGGAGUUGCGAGCAAAGAGGAAGCAAAGAGUUGAGCAGCCAGUUUUGUGUCGUUCUCCAUGAGGGUGGAAAGCCCUUUGUCAUGAGUUUUUAAGAAAAGGAACCCACCACCCCACACAAUAGUACACUAUUAUCGACUAGAUUUUUUUGCUUUCUUUUUUUUUUUUUUCCCUAAAGGUUUAUUUAUUUAUUUGGAGAAGAGGGGCAGAGAUAAGAGAGACCAUCCUGAAGCAGAUUCCCCGCUGAGUGCAGAGCACAGUGUGGGGCUCCAUCCCAGGACCCUGAGCCUACAUCAACAGUUGGCUAUUUAACUGACUCAGCCACCAAGGUGCCCCAACUUUUAUCACCGUUUUUGAGAUCUGAGUUGACUUGAAUCUGUUUCUUCAAAACAAAAGAAACACACAAGUUCUCAAAACCAAGAUGGGAUCCUGGCCAGCCACUGUUCUAUUACUAUUUCCUUCUACUGUUAUAUAAUCAAAAAUUGAGUAUAACAAAGAAAAUAUGGGUACAUAGCGCCACCAACAUCAGUCUCCCAACUGAUUGCUCAUACCUCUUUCUUUUCCAGCUUCCCCACAGGUGAGCUUAGUAACCCCAAACUUGCAAGUUCAUUCUUCUCCAAGGUUCAAGACAAGAAAGAUUUGAUUCAGGAAGCACUUGAACAGCCUAUAUCCACCACAGAAUCUUGAAGCCCCUUUGAAGGCAUGCUGUCCACUUGGUCAAUCACCAUGCUGACCUCCAGAGAAGCUUCAGUGCACCAAGCUGACGAGGUGUCUCUCUCCUGCCUCCUACAAGUCUUGUGUUAGCACACUGAUGCUCCUUCCUACCCUCUAUUUGGGAACUGGAUUUUUGAGCUGAUGUCUUGAUAUCCAGUUUCCCCCAUACAUAAUGUAUUUUUCCAUUUCUAUAACUGGGCUUCUGCUUUUGAGACCUUUCUGAAUAUCUGUGGUAAGAGUCUUCUCAAACCUCUUUCUAGAACAAAGGCUUUAUCUUUAUCUCAAAGGCUCCUCUUUACAAAGACUUUGGACUAGUGGCAAAUUGGAUCUCACCAGGACCCUUCCAGCCAUGAAAUCCUGUGUCUAACGCUCAGGUCAAGACUUACCUAUCAAUGGACAGACAUCCACGUGGGCCUACUCACCUCUUGGACUUCUGAUUAUCAACUUCCAGAAUGCUUCUACUGUGCUACACAUUCAACAGGAUACCAAGACCUUGUUGAUAUUGGACAUUUGCUUAUUUUGAAGAAGCUAAUUCAAGUCAACCCACAUCAUAUUGAUAUGAUGGGGUACUUGAACUAUAUCUGGAUAUGCUCUUUUUCUUGGAUAUUCUGCUUUGGGGGCCUCUUAAGCUUCUAUUAUUGGCAAAGACCUGCCCACGAGUCCCAUUCUCUAUCUGAAUAAUCCUGUCUUUAUGGGAAUAAAUAAAUAAAU